rnacentral:rRNA from 1 species
AUGAACGCUGGCGGCGUGCCUAAUACAUGCAAGUCGAGCGAACGGACGAGAAGCUUGCUUCUCUGAUGUUAGCGGCGGACGGGUGAGUAACACGUGGAUAACCUACCUAUAAGACUGGGAUAACUUCGGGAAACCGGAGCUAAUACCGGAUAAUAUUUUGAACCGCAUGGUUCAAAAGUGAAAGACGGUCUUGCUGUCACUUAUAGAUGGAUCCGCGCUGCAUUAGCUAGUUGGUAAGGUAACGGCUUACCAAGGCAACGAUGCAUAACCGACCUGAGAGGGUGAUCGGCCACACUGGAACUGAGACACGGUCCAGACUCCUACGGGAGGCAGCAGUAGGGAAUCUUCCGCAAUGGGCGAAAGCCUGACGGAGCAACGCCGCGUGAGUGAUGAAGGUCUUCGGAUCGUAAAACUCUGUUAUUAGGGAAGAACAUAUGUGUAAGUAACUGUGCACAUCUUGACGGUACCUAAUCAGAAAGCCACGGCUAACUACGUG